AAGAAAUGUUGACUGGUAACUUACUAAAUUAAUUGCUGAACGAAUUUCUGUAAUUCUGUAAUGCUACUGUCAUAGUGAUCUGUGUUUUAAAGCAAAAUCAUUUAAGAAAUUGCAUGGCUAUAUACAUGUACAUUGUACAUAUGACAGAAAAUAUACAUGUCUUUGUUGUCUGAAAUGAAAUUUAUUCUAUCAUAUUUCACAUAAUUUUCUGAAAUGAAAUUCAUUCUCUCAUAUUGGAGAUGAUAUUGCACAUAUAUAUGUAAUAUUCAUAGGCUGAAUCUGUAAAGUUUUGUUAUUCGCAACACAGUGAUGAACGAAACAAUAGUGAUGUUCUUUAAUUGAUCUGUUUCAUGGACCCUCUGACAGUUUAAAGUUGUUGAUAUUGAAUCUUUUAGAGAAAUGUGUUAGUACUCAUGCAGUUGUUGAAGACUGGUUUGUUUAUUGUCGUACAUGUUUUUCUUUUAGAAUUAAAAUCUGCUAGUC
rnacentral:misc_RNA from 1 species